AGGAUAGAAAGCCAGACGUGUGUUGGUAAUAUCAGUGCUAGGAUAGUACUUGUUUUAUCAACGUUUGUCUUUCUAUGCAAUUCUUUUUUUAAAUUAUUUUCUGGACUAUUGUUUUCAAGCUCAUUGAUUGUAGAACCGAUUGGCCCAAAAGAACCGCCCUCCACGUCGAGGUCUGCAGUAUUAGUUGUUUUCAUGGAUAUUAAAUCUAUACAGGUUGGUAAUUUUUUUUUAUUUAUCAUAAUGGUUUUUUGUGUUGACAUUUAAUUUUUCUAAAAAUUAAUUUUAUGUAAUUGGUUUGGGAAUCUUCUGUUUAGGUCAUGGUCAGUAUUAUGUCUUCCACAGUGUCACUACCUAUUUGUUUAGAACGUUGAUGAAUCCACAAAUGUUAAGUUAAUUUUAAUAUAAUUUUCUCACAGUUGUUUUCUCAUAUGAUAAUUCACGUUUUUUUUUUUUGUUUUGCUUCUCUUUUCCAGAUGAUGUUUUUUGUCUCAUCCCAUGUAUUACAGCCUUCCAUAAGGAUGGUGGUCUUUUGGGUCAAUAGGUUCUGUAAUAAAUUUGCUUGAUGGCUGUUCAGAUAGUUUAGAGGAAUUUUGGAUAGAAAGCCAGACGUGUGUUGGUAAUAUCAGUGCUAGGAUAGUACUUGUUUUAUCAACGUUUGUCUUUCUAUGCAAUUCUUUUUUUAAAUUAUUUUCUGGACUAUUGUUUUCAAGCUCAUUGAUUGUAGAACCGAUUGGCCCAAAAGAACCGCCCUCCACGUCGAGGUCUGCAGUAUUAGUUGUUUUCAUGGAUAUUAAAUCUAUACAGGUUGGUAAUUUUUUUUUAUUUAUCAUAAUGGUUUUUUGUGUUGACAUUUAAUUUUUCUAAAAAUUAAUUUUAUGUAAUUGGUUUGGAAAUCUUCUGUUUAGGUCAUGGUCAGUAUUAUGUCUUCCACAGUGUCACUACCUAUUUGUUUAGAACGUUGAUGAAUCCACAAAUGUUAAGUUAAUUUUAAUAUAAUUUUCUCACAGUUGUUUUCUCAUAUGAUAAUUCACGUUUUUUUUUUUGUUUUGCUUCUCUUUUCCAGAUAAUGUUUUUUGUCUCAUCCCAUGUAUUACAGCCUUCCAUAAGGAUGGUGGUCUUUUGGGUCAAUAGGUUCUGUAAUAAAUUUGCUUGAUGGCUGUUCAGAUAGUUUAGAGGAAUUUUGGAUAGAAUGCCAAACGUGUGUUGGUAAUAUCAGUGCUAGGAUACUACUGGUAUUAUUUGUUGUGGUUAUAGAUAUAGAAUUUGAUGAAUUUUUUUUUUCAUCUAUAUUGUUUUAUGCAAGCAUUCAUUGUCUUCAUACCUGGUAAUCUUAUAGUUUAUUUUUUUUUUUUUUACCUGAUUAAUUUUUUAAUGUUUUUCCAUUCUGAAUUUUCAUUAUAUAACUAAAUGUUAGAUCAUAUAGUAUUGUUGUGUGAUUUUGUAAUUUGUAUUUUAUUAUUGAUGAUUAUAUUAUUUUGUUGAAAAUGUUAUUUUUACUUUUUAUUGG